UUUAUUGGAACUCAGCCACCUCCUUCAUUUACAUAUUCUUUAUGGCUGCUUUCAUGUGAGCGUGGCAGAAUUGGGCAGUUGCCACAGAGACCAUAUGACCUGCAAAAUGUAAAAUAUUUACUGUCUGGCACUUUAUGGAAAAAGUUUGGUGACUCCUGUCACCAAAACACAGUUUAAAUUUUAUAACAGGCAUCCAAAGGCCUAAAGAUGUACCCUGAGCUAACUCUGGCAUCCCUGCCAUUCUCUCCCGGCAUCCCUGCACCCACCCAGAGGCUGAACAGUCACAGGGGCUACUCUGAAUGUGGUAGGAGGUGGGAGUCACUCUGGGAAGUGUUUGACCGAAAUUGGCAGAAGUGGGGUGAAGGAAAGGUGGCUUUAGACAUUAAAACAGGAAGAAUAAAGACCAGAAAAGGGUGUGAAAGUAACUCCACUGGAAGGCCUGGGGCUGCUGCACCAGUUGGUAGUGAUGUUAUUAUCCCAGAGUCCAGUCAGACUUAGUACGUGGCCAUUUACAGAAACGCUUCAGGUAAAAAAGGGAUGAAGG
rnacentral:sRNA from 1 species